ACCCUGCCCUCUGGCAGUGAGAAGCCAUUCCCCCUUGUCCUGUCACUUCAGGCCCUUGUCCAAAGUCCUUCUGCAGCUCUCUUGGAGCCCCUUUAGGGACAGGAAAGGGCUCUAAGGUCUGCCUGGAGUUCCUUUUCUCCAGGAUG